AACAUCAAAGCAGCCCAAGUAGACCCCACUGUUGGUGGUGUAGGAAAGUAGAGCAUCUGUGUUGCACAGAAGUUCUCAGGUCUAGCAUCUCCAGGAUGGAUCUUGACUGACUUCAUGAAGGAUUCACUCAGCUGCAAAAUGAUGAACCAACCCCAGACAUAUAAAUGAAUUGAAAAGACGACACCGUCCCCCCCUUGAUGAAUGGGAGAAGGAGGUGGAGCUACGUAAAGACCGACGUCGCUGAUCAUUGGUGCCUCGCGGUUCCCACUUUCGCUUGCAACUCCCUCCUUCCUCUCCAACUAAGGGUGCGCAAAACCUUUCUUCUCUCCUGAUUGGCCAGCUCAGCUCAUCAAUCCCAGCUGCUCCCAGAAAGCAAGAAAAGAAGAAAUGAAGGAUGACCGCCUCGAUGAAGUCGCCCAAGAGGAACCAAGUUAGAAAAUAAGGCACAAGGUUCCCCUUGUAAUGAGGAAAAGAAAACGACUUUACAGAAACCUUCUGGGACAGUCAAAAAUCUUAACCACAUCUUUUCCAGUUCGUGCCUGAGGUCACUGGAAGCAACACAACACGCCAUUGGGCGGCAAUCCUGCCGACACUUAAGCAGACAUAAUUGUCGCUGGUGUCAGUGGGAGACAGAGGGCAGAAU